UAUAAAGACACAUUGUCUUUCAUCGAUGUCCUGUCAUCUUACGGAAGUUGAACGUAAAGAUUUGUGUUUUAAUGACAUGAAUGUAUGUUAGGUGAUUAUUUGUAAUUCGUAAGCUAGACUGGCAAGUACGAUUUCCAGUGGAAUCACUGAUUGUAACACGGAACUUUUUGGUACGUUUUGUUUUUAGAGUUUUUUUCAGCUAUGUCUCAACCUGCGAAUGUAAUUUUUGAAGAAGGCAAACACCGAUUGUGGUCCUACAACAGUAAUAAAGGAGGAAGUUGCCUUAGUUUAUCUGUGAAAAAGAAUGUUUCAUAGGUAAAGUUAAAGCGAAUGGAGAAUCUGAAGCUGAAGCACGGAUAAAGUUUGCAAAAGCUCAAGAUAGCACGAGGCAUUUUUCUACAACCUGCUGUUUGCAAAAAUGAAGAGACGUACUGUUUAGAUGAAAAGGAUGGCAAAAUUUUGCAGAGAAAAAGAGCUCAAGCUCGUUUUAUCUAUCUCCGAGAGAAUUAAGGACGCCAAAUAAUGGUUUUUUUGCGCUAAAAAAAUACAAAGAUCCAAACGAAGUUGGACCUGAUCUGUUCUUAUACAGUAAUGGCAAGGGGAAAUUGUCACUGGAGCCUUGGAAUGUCAAAGGAACUAGUCCUGCCAAUGAAUUGAUCCUUCAACUCGAUCCUGGUUUUAUGUUCCGCGCUGUAAAAGUUUUGGAGCAAUAAAUAGAUCAUUCAUCAUUACAAUGGAACAGUAUAAACUUUAAGACUUUGAAUUUUGUAUUAAGGUAGCUAGUUUUUAUAGGGUGUGAUUUAACAUGACGUCGAAGCAGCGGUUGGUUGCUUAAUUGAAAUAUAGGAAUAUCAAAAAAUGUUUGCAAA